ACAAGGCAAAAUUUCCCCGGGGGGAUAUUUCUCAGACUUCACCUGGAUUUGUUCUGCUCAUUCGGGAGCCCCCUGGGGACAUAACUUAUGAAACCAUCCCAAGACUCCUCCCUUUCAUGAAGAAGUAUGACAAGAUCUCUGAGCUAAAGGAAAAGAACUGAG